GGAAAGAUAGGUUAUUUUUAAACCAUUUGGUUCAUGAUCAAAAGAAGCUUUUUUAGCUCUUUCUA
rnacentral:tRNA from 1 species